CUCCCGCCCGCACCUGAGGGCGGGCAGCGCCGGGCCCCGGCUCGACGCGGCGCGGUUCGCACUUACUCCGCGGGGCCUCCGUGGCGGCGGCGCGGGCCCGGCGGUGCCCCGGGAGCGGCGCUCUUUGCACCCAUUGACCAAAUUCAGAAAGUACAAAGCAUCUCUCUACUUGUAGAGAAAGUAAGAUGCUAUCCCCACAGUGAUCUUCCUUCACCACGGGUGCACCAGCAGUGCCACUGAAAUCAAAAGAGUGUCUCACUGUUUGUCCCGAAGGACCUCCAUCAAUUGGAAUCAAUUAUUUCUUCUUCUUAACAAAGAUAUGGAGUUUUCCCCCGGUUGUUUCUUCUCCAUAACAGUCCUGGGCUGAGCACAAACAUACCAACAAACUCAGCCGAAGUGCAGAUUUUUUCUUUAAAGUAAGUGGACCCGUUAGGCCAUGUUAUUAUUUAUAAGAGAAUAGACUUUUAAUUCUCAUGAAACUAUUUCCAGCUCACCACAAUUUUGAGAUAUUAAAGACAGGUUACACUAAUUCCCAUUAAAUUCAGUAAUCAGACUCAUCCUGGCUCAUGACAAUGGGCUAUAGUAGGAAGCAGCAGAUUGUGCUGCCUUAGGUGAGCUUUUUCUUACUGUGGUCAAGCAGAUUAGUUUGCCCUAACACACCUGAGGGGAGGAUGUAAUCUGUGGGUAGUAAAACAGUGGUCCAUAGGCUAGAAGACACUUAAGUGAGGAUGAAGUCACAGGUCCACCUGCUCCCUUCUGGUGGAGUGUGAAAUGGAUAAGAGCACAAACGAGUCGAUAGAAAUCUCAGGAAGCAAGAAGGAGAAUGGGACAUCUGUAACGUAAUUUCUCCUGGGCUCGUGUGGUGCAGCCUAAACUCCACACUGUACAGAGAAGUUUCUUGAGAUU
rnacentral:lncRNA from 7 species